UUAUAACAACUGUUUCUUAACUUACACAUGCAAGUUUCAGCACACCCGUGAGAACGCCCUUUCAACCUCCACCAGGCUGAGGAGCUGGUAUCAGGCCCAACCCAUUUUGCCCAUGACACCUAGUCUUACCACACCCCCAAGGGAAAUCAGCAGUGAUAAAUUUUGGGUAUAAGCGAAAGCUUGACUCAGUUAAAGAAAAGAGAGCCGGCUAACCUGGUGCCAGCUGCCGCGGCUAAACCAGGGACUCAAAUUGUUAAUCAUCGGCGUCAAGCGUGAUUAAAGUUACCUAAAAAUUAGGGUUAAACUAAUACUAAGUAGUCAUAAGCCUGCUAUUAGGAAAGCCGCAAACGAAAGUUAUCCUAAUCUAUUACUUGAACACACGACAGCUAAGAACCCAAACUGGGAUUAGAUACCCCACUAUGCUUAGCCGUAAAUAUUAAAUUACACUAACCAACGCCAAGGUAUUACGAGCCUUGCUUAAAACCUAAAGGACUUGACGGUGUCCCAUCCACCUAGAGGAGCCUGUUCUGUAAUCGAUAUUCCCCGCUCCACCCGACCAUUCCUUGCUAUGUCAGUCUGUAUACCUCCGUCGAAAGCCUACCAUGUGAACGCUUAUAGUGGGCUCAAUGGCUAUCCACCAAUACGCCAGGUCAAGGUGCAACUUAUGGAAUGGAGAGAAAUGGGCUACAGUUUCUAAAAUAGAACAAACGAAAAACUAUGUGAAAUCAUACUUAUGAAGGCGGAUUUAGAAGUAAAAAGAAAGUAGAGUGUUCUUUUUAAUCUGGCCCUGGGACGCGUACACACCGCCCGUCACCCUCUUCAACAGUCAAAUACUCAGUUCUUAACUUAAUCACCACACCUUAGAAGAGGCAAGUCGUAA
rnacentral:ncRNA from 1 species